AAUGAAAUUAAACGUAGGUGGAUAUGAGGGGGUUGGAUGCGAUUGAGUAUGAUAUAAGGAUACUCGAAGACAACCAGGUCUAUGUGAGGUGGGAGAUCAGGUCAAGUUAAAUUUUAGAACAAGGGUGGCCUAUCCCAAAUAGCUAGGAUGAAGGAGCGAAUGAUAAGAAGAAGACAUUAUAUCAACUUCUAAAAUAUUACUUUUCGACAAUCGUGCGUGAAUUGAUUGAUUAUUACCUAGUACGCAUAUUGUUAUAGAUAUUAUAGAUCA